rnacentral:rRNA from 1 species
GAUGAACGCUGGCGGCGUGCCUAAUACAUGCAAGUCGAACGAAACUUCUUUAUCACCGAGUGCUUGCACUCACCGAUAAAGAGUUGAGUGGCGAACGGGUGAGUAACACGUGGGCAACCUGCCCAAAAGAGGGGGAUAACACUUGGAAACAGGUGCUAAUACCGCAUAACCAUAGUUACCGCAUGGUAACUAUGUAAAAGGUGGCUAUACUACCGCUUUUGGAUGGGCCCGCGGCGCAUUAGCUAGUUGGUAGGGUAAAGGCUUACCAAGGCAAUGAUGCGUAGCCGAAUUGAGAGGUUGAGCGGCCACAUUGGGACUGAGACACGGCCCAAACUCCUACGGGAGGCAGCAGUAGGGAAUCUUCCACAAUGGGCGAAAGCCUGAUGGAGCAACGCCGCGUGGGUGAAGAAGGUCUUCGGAUCGUAAAACCCUGUUGUUAGAGAAGAAAGUGCGUGAGAGUAACUGUUCACGUUUCGACGGUAUCUAACCAGAAAGCCACGGCUAACUACGUG